CACUCGGUAGCACAUGGUGUGCACCUGCUUGACCUACAUUCGGGCACCCUGUAGUUUAUGCAGGAGGCUCCGGUUCGAUUCCGGAUCGAGUGA